GAUGAACGCUGGCGGCGUGCCUAAUACAUGCAAGUCGAGCGAAGCGGGGACGGGUGAGUAACACGUGGAUAACCUCCUAUAAGACUGGGAUAACUUCGGGAAACCUGAGCUAAACCCGUUACUUAUACAUGUUUCCUGGCUGGAUUAGCUAGUGGGUAAGGUAACGGCUUACCAAGGCAACGAUGCAUAGCCGACCUGAGAGGAUGAUCGGCCACACUGGAACUGAGACACGGUCCAGACUCCUACGGGAGGCAGCAGUGGGGAAUCUUCCGCAAUGGGCGAAAGCCUGACGGAGCCACGCCGCGUGAGUGAUGAAGGUCUUCGGAUCGUAAAACUCUGUUAUUAGGGAAGCGGUACCUAAACAGAAAGCCACGGCUAACUACGUGCCAGCAGCCGCGGUAAUAC
rnacentral:rRNA from 1 species